rnacentral:tRNA from 1 species
GCUCCCAUCGUCUAGCGGUCCAGGACAUCGGAUUCUCAUUCCGGCAACAUGGGUUCGAUUCCCAUUGGGAGUGCCA